rnacentral:rRNA from 1 species
GGGUUGUGAGGUUAAGCGACUAAGCGUACACGGUGGAUGCCCUGGCAGUCAGAGGCGAUGAAGGACGUGCUAAUCUGCGAUAAGCGUCGGUAAGGUGAUAUGAACCGUUAUAACCGGCGAUUUCCGAAUGGGGAAACCCAGUGUGUUUCGACACACUAUCAUUAACUGAAUCCAUAGGUUAAUGAGGCGAACCGGGGGAACUGAAACAUCUAAGUACCCCGAGGAAAAGAAAUCAACCGAGAUUCCCCCAGUAGCGGCGAGCGAACGGGGAGCAGCCCAGAGCCUGAAUCAGUAUGUGUGUUAGUGGAAGCGUCUGGAAAGGCGCGCGAUACAGGGUGACAGCCCCGUACACAAAAAUGCACAUAUUGUGAGCUCGAUGAGUAGGGCGGGACACGUGGUAUCCUGUCUGAAUAUGGGGGGACCAUCCUCCAAGGCUAAAUACUCCUGACUGACCGAUAGUGAACCAGUACCGUGAGGGAAAGGCGAAAAGAACCCCGGCGAGGGGAGUGAAAAAGAACCUGAAACCGUGUACGUACAAGCAGUGGGAGCACGCUUAGGCGUGUGACUGCGUACCUUUUGUAUAAUGGGUCAGCGACUUAUAUUCUGUAGCAAGGUUAACCGAAUAGGGGAGCCGAAGGGAAACCGAGUCUUAACUGGGCGUUAAGUUGCAGGGUAUAGACCCGAAACCCGGUGAUCUAGCCAUGGGCAGGUUGAAGGUUGGGUAACACUAACUGGAGGACCGAACCGACUAAUGUUGAAAAAUUAGCGGAUGACUUGUGGCUGGGGGUGAAAGGCCAAUCAAACCGGGAGAUAGCUGGUUCUCCCCGAAAGCUAUUUAGGUAGCGCCUCGUGAAUUCAUCUCCGGGGGUAGAGCACUGUUUCGGCAAGGGGGUCAUCCCGACUUACCAACCCGAUGCAAACUGCGAAUACCGGAGAAUGUUAUCACGGGAGACACACGGCGGGUGCUAACGUCCGUCGUGAAGAGGGAAACAACCCAGACCGCCAGCUAAGGUCCCAAAGUCAUGGUUAAGUGGGAAACGAUGUGGGAAGGCCCAGACAGCCAGGAUGUUGGCUUAGAAGCAGCCAUCAUUUAAAGAAAGCGUAAUAGCUCACUGGUCGAGUCGGCCUGCGCGGAAGAUGUAACGGGGCUAAACCAUGCACCGAAGCUGCGGCAGCGACACUAUGUGUUGUUGGGUAGGGGAGCGUUCUGUAAGCCUGUGAAGGUGUGCUGUGAGGCAUGCUGGAGGUAUCAGAAGUGCGAAUGCUGACAUAAGUAACGAUAAAGCGGGUGAAAAGCCCGCUCGCCGGAAGACCAAGGGUUCCUGUCCAACGUUAAUCGGGGCAGGGUGAGUCGACCCCUAAGGCGAGGCCGAAAGGCGUAGUCGAUGGGAAACAGGUUAAUAUUCCUGUACUUGGUGUUACUGCGAAGGGGGGACGGAGAAGGCUAUGUUGGCCGGGCGACGGUUGUCCCGGUUUAAGCGUGUAGGCUGGUUUUCCAGGCAAAUCCGGAAAAUCAAGGCUGAGGCGUGAUGACGAGGCACUACGGUGCUGAAGCAACAAAUGCCCUGCUUCCAGGAAAAGCCUCUAAGCAUCAGGUAACAUCAAAUCGUACCCCAAACCGACACAGGUGGUCAGGUAGAGAAUACCAAGGCGCUUGAGAGAACUCGGGUGAAGGAACUAGGCAAAAUGGUGCCGUAACUUCGGGAGAAGGCACGCUGAUAUGUAGGUGAAGUCCCUCGCGGAUGGAGCUGAAAUCAGUCGAAGAUACCAGCUGGCUGCAACUGUUUAUUAAAAACACAGCACUGUGCAAACACGAAAGUGGACGUAUACGGUGUGACGCCUGCCCGGUGCCGGAAGGUUAAUUGAUGGGGUUAGCCGCAAGGCGAAGCUCUUGAUCGAAGCCCCGGUAAACGGCGGCCGUAACUAUAACGGUCCUAAGGUAGCGAAAUUCCUUGUCGGGUAAGUUCCGACCUGCACGAAUGGCGUAAUGAUGGCCAGGCUGUCUCCACCCGAGACUCAGUGAAAUUGAACUCGCUGUGAAGAUGCAGUGUACCCGCGGCAAGACGGAAAGACCCCGUGAACCUUUACUAUAGCUUGACACUGAACAUUGAGCCUUGAUGUGUAGGAUAGGUGGGAGGCUUAGAAGUGUGGACGCCAGUCUGCAUGGAGCCGACCUUGAAAUACCACCCUUUAAUGUUUGAUGUUCUAACGUUGACCCGUAAUCCGGGUUGCGGACAGUGUCUGGUGGGUAGUUUGACUGGGGCGGUCUCCUCCUAAAGAGUAACGGAGGAGCACGAAGGUUGGCUAAUCCUGGUCGGACAUCAGGAGGUUAGUGCAAUGGCAUAAGCCAGCUUGACUGCGAGCGUGACGGCGCGAGCAGGUGCGAAAGCAGGUCAUAGUGAUCCGGUGGUUCUGAAUGGAAGGGCCAUCGCUCAACGGAUAAAAGGUACUCCGGGGAUAACAGGCUGAUACCGCCCAAGAGUUCAUAUCGACGGCGGUGUUUGGCACCUCGAUGUCGGCUCAUCACAUCCUGGGGCUGAAGUAGGUCCCAAGGGUAUGGCUGUUCGCCAUUUAAAGUGGUACGCGAGCUGGGUUUAGAACGUCGUGAGACAGUUCGGUCCCUAUCUGCCGUGGGCGCUGGAGAACUGAGGGGGGCUGCUCCUAGUACGAGAGGACCGGAGUGGACGCAUCACUGGUGUUCGGGUUGUCAUGCCAAUGGCACUGCCCGGUAGCUAAAUGCGGAAGAGAUAAGUGCUGAAAGCAUCUAAGCACGAAACUUGCCCCGAGAUGAGUUCUCCCUGACUCCUUGAGAGUCCUGAAGGAACGUUGAAGACGACGACGUUGAUAGGCCGGGUGUGUAAGCGCAGCGAUGCGUUGAGCUAACCGGUACUAAUGAACCGUGAGGCUUAACCUUACAACGCCGAAGCUGUU